rnacentral:rRNA from 1 species
GAAUAUUGGACAAUGGGCGCAAGCCUGAUCCAGCCAUGCCGCGUGAGUGAUGAAGGCCUUAGGGUUGUAAAGCUCUUUCGCUGGGGAAGAUAAUGACGGUACCCAGAGCAGAAGCCCCGGCUAACUUCGUGCCAGCAGCCGCGGUAAUACGAAGGGGGCUAGCGUUGUUCGGAAUUACUGGGCGUAAAGCGCACGUAGGCGGACUUGUCAGUCAGAGGUGAAAUCCCGAAGCUUAACUUCGGAACUGCCUUUGAUACUGCAAGUCUUGAGGAUGAGAGAGGUAAGUGGAACUGCGAGUGUAGAGGUGAAAUUCGUAGAUAUUCGCAAGAACACCAGUGGCGAAGGCGGCUUACUGGCUCAUUUCUGACGCUGAGGUGCGAAAGCGUGGGGAGCAAAC